AACAGGAUUAGAUACCCUGGUAGUCCAUGCCGUAAACGUUGGGCACUAGGUGUGGGGCGGGUUCCACUCGUUCUGUGCCGCAGCUAACGCAUUAAGUGCCCCGCCUGGGGAGUACGGCCGCAAGGCUAAAACUCAAGGGAAUUGACGGGGGCCCGCACAAGCGGCGGAGCAUGCGGAUUAAUUCGAUGCAACGCGAAGAACCUUACCAAGGCUUGACAUGUACGAGAACGCGUUAGAGAUAACGAACUCUUUGGACACUCGUACACAGGUGGUGCAUGGUUGUCGUCAGCUCGUGUCGUGAGAUGUUGGGUUAAGUCCCGCAACGAGCGCAACCCCUAUCCUAUGUUGCCAGCGGGUCAUGCCGGGGACUCAUGGGAGACUGCCGGGGUCAACUCGGAGGAAGGUGGGGAUGACGUCAAAUCAUCAUGCCCCUUAUGUCUUGGGCUUCACGCAUGCUACAAUGGCCGGUACAGAGGGCUGCGAUACCGUGAGGUGGAGCGAAUCCCAAAAAGCCGGUCUCAGUUCGGAUCGGGGUCUGCAACUCGACCCCGUGAAGUCGGAGUCGCUAGUAAUCGCAGAUCAGCAACGCUGCGGUGAAUACGUUCCCGGGCCUUGUACACACCGCCCGUCAAGUCACGAAAGUUGGUAACACCCGAAGCUCACGGCCCAACCCGCAAGGGAGGGAGUGGUCGAAGGUGGGACUGGCGAUUAGGACUAAGUCGUAACAAGGUAACC
rnacentral:rRNA from 1 species